AUAAGGGCGCACGGUGGAUGCCUUGGCACUAGGAGCCGACGAAGGACGUGACAAACGACGAUAUGCCUUGGGUAGCUGUAAGUAAGCGAUGAUCCAGGGAUUUCCGAAUGGGGGAACCCAACAGGUAAUACCUGUUACCCACAUCUGUUAAGGAUGUGAGGAGGAAGACGCAGUGAACUGAAACAUCUAAGUAGCUGCAGGAAGAGAAAGCAAAAGCGAUUGCCUUAGUAGCGGCGAGCGAAACGGCAGAAGGGCAAACCGAAGAGUUUACUCUUCGGGGUUGUAGGACUGCAAUGUGGACUCAAAGAUUAUAGAAGAAUGAUUUGGGAAGAUCAGCCAAAGAGAGUAAUAGCCUCGUAUUUAAAAUAGUCUUUGUACCUAGCAGUAUCCUGAGUACGGCGGGACACGUGAAAUCCCGUCGGAAUCUGGGAGGACCAUCUCCCAACCCUAAAUACUCCCUAGUGACCGAUAGUGAACCAGUACCGUGAGGGAAAGGUGAAAAGCACCCCGGGAGGGGAGUGAAAUAGAACCUGAAACCGUGUGCCUACAACAAGUUCGAGCCCGUUAAUGGGUGAGAGCGUGCCUUUUGUAGAAUGAACCGGCGAGUUACGUUAUGAUGCGAGGUUAAGUUGAAGAGACGGAGCCGUAGGGAAACCGAGUCUGAAUAGGGCGCCUUAGUAUCAUGACGUAGACCCGAAACCAUGUGACCUACCCAUGAGCAGGUUGAAGGUGCGGUAAGACGCACUGGAGGACCGAACCAGGGCACGUUGAAAAGUGCUUGGAUGACUUGUGGGUAGCGGAGAAAUUCCAAACGAACUUGGAGAUAGCUGGUUCUCUCCGAAAUAGCUUUAGGGCUAGCGUCGACAUUAGAGAUUCUUGGAGGUAGAGCACUGUUUGGGUGAGGGGUCCAUCCCGGAUUACCAAUCUCAGAUAAACUCCGAAUGCCAAUGAAUUAUGGUCGGCAGUCAGACUGCGAGUGCUAAGAUCCGUAGUCGAAAGGGAAACAGCCCAGACCACCAGCUAAGGUCCCAAAAUAAUUGUUAAGUGGAAAAGGAUGUGGGGUUGCACAGACAACUAGGAUGUUAGCUUAGAAGCAGCUAUUCAUUCAAAGAGUGCGUAAUAGCUCACUAGUCGAGUGACCCUGCGCCGAAAAUGUACCGGGGCUAAAACAAUUUACCGAAGCUGUGGAUACCUUUAUAGGUAUGGUAGGAGAGCGUUCUAUGUGUGAUGAAGGUAUACCGUGAGGAGUGCUGGAACGCAUAGAAGUGAGAAUGCCGGUAUGAGUAGCGAAAGACAGGUGAGAAUCCUGUCCACCGUAAGACUAAGGUUUCCAGGGGAAGGCUCGUCCGCCCUGGGUUAGUCGGGACCUAAGGAGAGACCGAAAGGUGUAUCCGAUGGACAACAGGUUGAUAUUCCUGUACUAGAGUAUGUAGUGAUGGAGGGACGCAGUAGGCUAACUAAAGCAGACGAUUGGAAGAGUCUGUCUAAGCAGUGAGGUGUGAAUUGAGUCAAAUGCUUAAUUCUAUAACAUUGAGCUGUGAUGGGGAGCGAAGUUUAGUAGCGAAGUUAGUGACGUCACACUGCCAAGAAAAGCUUCUAGCGUUUAAACAUACUCUACCCGUACCGCAAACCGACACAGGUAGUCGAGGCGAGUAGCCUCAGGUGAGCGAGAGAACUCUCGUUAAGGAACUCGGCAAAAUGACCCCGUAACUUCGGGAGAAGGGGUGCUGACUUAAAGUCAGCCGCAGUGAAUAGGCCCAAGCAACUGUUUAUCAAAAACACAGCUCUCUGCUAAAUCGUAAGAUGAUGUAUAGGGGGUGACGCCUGCCCGGUGCUGGAAGGUUAAGAGGAGUGCUUAGCGUAAGCGAANAUGGAAGGGCCAUCGCUCAACGGAUAAAAGCUACCCCGGGGAUAACAGGCUUAUCUCCCCCAAGAGUCCACAUCGACGGGGAGGUUUGGCACCUCGAUGUCGGCUCAUCGCAUCCUGGGGCUGUAGUCGGUCCCAAGGGUUGGGCUGUUCGCCCAUUAAAGCGGUACGCGAGCUGGGUUCAGAACGUCGUGAGACAGUUCGGUCCCUAUCCGUCGUGGGCGUAGGAAAUUUGAGAGGAGCUGUCCUUAGUACGAGAGGACCGGGAUGGACGCACCGCUGGUGUACCAGUUGUUCUGCCAAGGGCAUAGCUGGGUAGCUAUGUGCGGAAGGGAUAAGUGCUGAAAGCAUCUAAGCAUGAAGCCCCCCUCAAGAUGAGAUUUCCCAUAGCGUAAGCUAGUAAGAUCCCUGAAAGAUGAUCAGGUUGAUAGGUUCGAGGUGGAAGCAUGGUGACAUGUGGAGCUGACGAAUACUAAUAGAUCGAGGACUUAACC
rnacentral:rRNA from 1 species